GAUGAACGCUGGCGGCGUGCCUAAUACAUGCAAGUCGAGCGAACAGACGAGGAGCUUGCUCCUCUGACGUUAGCGGCGGACGGGUGAGUAACACGUGGAUAACCUACCUAUAAGACUGGGAUAACUUCGGGAAACCGGAGCUAAUACCGGAUAAUAUAUUGAACCGCAUGGUUCAAUAGUGAAAGACGGUUUUGCUGUCACUUAUAGAUGGAUCCGCGCCGCAUUAGCUAGUUGGUAAGGUAACGGCUUACCAAGGCAACGAUGCGUAGCCGACCUGAGAGGGUGAUCGGCCACACUGGAACUGAGACACGGUCAAGACUCCUACGGGAGGCAGCAGUAGGGAAUCUUCCGCAAUGGGCGAAAGCAUGACGGAGCAACGCCGCGUGAGUGAUGAAGGUCUUCGGAUCGUAAAACUCUGUUAUUAGGGAAGAACAAAUGUGUAAGUAACUAUGCACGUCUUGACGGUAACUAAUCAGAAAGCCACGGCUAACUACGUG
rnacentral:rRNA from 1 species